UACGUAGGGUGCAAGCGUUAAUCGGAAUUACUGGGCGUAAAGCGUGCGCAGGCGGUUUUGUAAGUCUGUCGUGAAAUCCCCGGGCUCAACCUGGGAAUUGCGAUGGAGACUGCAAGGCUAGAAUCUGGCAGAGGGGGGGUAGAAUUCCACGUGUAGCAGUGAAAUGCGUAGAGAUGUGGAGGAACACCGAUGGCGAAGGCAGCCCCCUGGGUCAAGAUUGACGCUCAUGCACGAAAGGCGUGGGGAGCAGACAGG
rnacentral:rRNA from 1 species